GACGAACGCUGGCGGCGCGCUUAACACAUGCAAGUCGAACGGAAAGGCCUGCUUUCCCUUGUGGAUUGCGGGUACUCGAGUGGCGAACGGGUGAGUAACACGUGAGUGAUCUGCCCCCAACUUGGGUAUAAGCCUGGGAAACUGGGUCUAAUUCCCGAUAGGACUGCAGGGUGGUGCCUGUGGUGGAAAACGAUUUUCUAGUGGUUGGGGAUGAGCUCGCGGCCUAUCAGCUUGUUGGUGGGGUAAUGGCCUACCAAGGCGGCGACGGGUAGCCGGCCUGGGAGGGUGGACGGCAACAUUGGGACUGAGAUACGGCCCAGACUCCUACGGGAGGCAGCAGUGGGGAAUAUUGCACAAUGGGCGGAAGCCUGAGGCAGCGACGCCGCGUGGGGGAUGACGGCCUUCGGGUUGUAAACUCCUUUCGACCGCGAGGAAGCCACCUGGUUGGAAGGGUGGUGACGGUAGUGGUAGAAGAAGCACCGGCUAACUACGUG
rnacentral:rRNA from 1 species